GGGCUGCGGUAAUUUAACCGUGCAAAGGUAGCAUAAUAAUUAGUCUUUUAAUUGUAGACUUGUAUGAAUGGUGUGACGAAGAAUAAGCUUUUUUAAUAAUAAGAAUUGAAUUUUAUUUUUAAGUGAAAAAGCUUAAAUGUUAUUAAGGGACGAUAAGACCCUAUAAAACUUAAUAUUAUUUUUUACUUUCUUUUCUCAAGUUAAUAGAUUAAGCAAGAUAGUUUUAUUUGGUUGGGGCGACUAAAAUAUAAUAAGUAGCUGUUUAUGUUAGAUUAAUAAAAUUAUUUGUGAUUAAAACCUUUAUUAAGGAUUAAAAUAAAGUUACUUUAGGGAUAACAGCGUAAUUUUUUCUGAGAGUUCUUAUCGAAGAAAGUAGUUGCGACCUCGAUGUUGAAUUAAAAUUUUUAGUAAGUGCAGCAGCUUAAAUAGUAGGUCUGUUCGACCUUGAAAAUUU
rnacentral:rRNA from 1 species